GAUGAACGCUGGCGGCGUGCCUAAUACAUGCAAGUCGAGCGAACAGACGAGGAGCUUGCUCCUCUGACGUUAGCGGCGGACGGGUGAGUAACACGUGGAUAACCUACCUAUAAGACUGGGAUAACUUCGGGAAACCGGAGCUAAUACCGGAUAAUAUAUUGAACCGCAUGGUUCAAUAGUGAAAGACGGUUUUGCUGUCACUUAUAGAUGGAUCCGCGCCGCAUUAGCUAGUUGGUAAGGUAACGGCUUACCAAGGCAACGAUGCGUAGCCGACCUGAGAGGGUGAUCGGCCACACUGGAACUGAGACAAGGUCCCGACGCCUACGGGAGGCAGCAGUUGGGAAUCUUCCGGCAUGGGCGAAAGCCUGACGGAGCAACGGCGCGUGAGUGAUGAAGGUCUUCGGAUCGUAAAACUCUGUUAUUAGGGAAGAACAAAUGUGUAAGUAACUAUGCACGUCUUGACGGUACCUAAUCAGAAAGCCACGGCUAACUACGUG
rnacentral:rRNA from 1 species